UACAGAGGGUGCGAGCGUUGUUCGGAAUUAUUGGGCGUAAAGCGCGUGUAGGCUGCUCGGAAAGUCGGGUGUGAAAGCCCUGGGCUCAACCUAGGAAGUGCACUCGAAACUUCCGAGCUGGAGUGCUGGAGAGGAAGGCGGAAUUCUCGGUGUAGAGGUGAAAUUCGUAGAUAUCGAGAGGAACACCGGUGGCGAAGGCGGCCUUCUGGACAGCCACUGACGCUGAGACGCGAAAGCGUGGGGAGCAAACAGG
rnacentral:rRNA from 1 species